rnacentral:rRNA from 1 species
GGGACACGUGGUAUCCUGUCUGAAUAUGGGGGGACCAUCCUCCAAGGCUAAAUACUCCUGACUGACCGAUAGUGAACCAGUACCGUGAGGGAAAGGCGAAAAGAACCCCGGCGAGGGGAGUGAAAAAGAACCUGAAACCGUGUACGUACAAGCAGUGGGAGCCUCUUAAUGGGGUGACUGCGUACCUUUUGUAUAAUGGGUCAGCGACUUAUAUUCUGUAGCAAGGUUAACCGAAUAGGGGAGCCGAAGGGAAACCGAGUCUUAACUGGGCGUUAAGUUGCAGGGUAUAGACCCGAAACCCGGUGAUCUAGCCAUGGGCAGGUUGAAGGUUGGGUAACACUAACUGGAGGACCGAACCGACUAAUGUUGAAAAAUUAGCGGAUGACUUGUGGCUGGGGGUGAAAGGCCAAUCAAACCGGGAGAUAGCUGGUUCUCCCCGAAAGCUAUUUAGGUAGCGCCUCGUGAAUUCAUCUCCGGGGGUAGAGCACUGUUUCGGCAAGGGGGUCAUCCCGACUUACCAACCCGAUGCAAACUGCGAAUACCGGAGAAUGUUAUCACGGGAGACACACGGCGGGUGCUAACGUCCGUCGUGAAGAGGGAAACAACCCAGACCGCCAGCUAAGGUCCCAAAGUCAUGGUUAAGUGGGAAACGAUGUGGGAAGGCCCAGACAGCCAGGAUGUUGGCUUAGAAGCAGCCAUCAUUUAAAGAAAGCGUAAUAGCUCACUGGUCGAGUCGGCCUGCGCGGAAGAUGUAACGGGGCUAAACCAUGCACCGAAGCUGCGGCAGCGACGCUUAUGCGUUGUUGGGUAGGGGAGCGUUCUGUAAGCCUGUGAAGGUGUGCUGUGAG